rnacentral:lncRNA from 1 species
UUCUUUGUUUAGUUGUUACUUCUUUACAAUCUUGAAGUGGCUCUUUAUAUUUUUCAUUGUGAAGUUUGACUCUUAAACCUAAUGUUUGAAAUUAGGUUUUUAGAUAUCAAUCUAACUCUAAUUCAAAGAUGGACCAAACAAUUGAAAGGUUCCAAAGACAUGGGUUUUUGGAGUUCAAGGGGUAUACACAAAGAGAACUGCGUAGAAGCUGCUUGAUACUGAUCUAUUGGAGCCUCAUACCGAGAGGUAAGAAAUAAAAUUUUCACAUUUAGGGAAAACUAUUAAAUUGUUAUAUGGUUAUUUUAAUUUCCCAUCAACAGUCAUUUUUACUGACUUCUUCUUGGGUUCUUAGGAAAUAUUUUAUUUUGUAUUCGGUUAAAAUCGGGCCUACCCGAUUUUACUAUUUGACCGGUGACCUAGAGGUUGCAUCGAAGGAUAGCCUCGUAAUGAAAAAGACUAAAUCACGAUGAUAAGAUACCGAGUUCAGAAUCGAGUUACCUGUCGAGAUCGAGGCUACUAGCGAUCGAAGCCAAAUGAAACAGACAUGAGCAAGAUCAAAGAUAGCACAAAAAUAGAAAGGCGAGAUAUCCGUGACUGGUCGAGGAUCAUGGCGUAAAUAUCGAAACGGAUCAAAUCAGAAACGGUUAAUUAGUUAAUCAUGGAUUUCCUUCUUUAAUUAGAAUUAUACCACAAGUGAAAUUCUUCUACUAUUUAAGAGGCUCUAAUCAUCUGUAAGAUACAUUGUUCAUAGAUAUCAAAGCAAUAUAAUUCUCUUUCUCAUUUAUACUGUUGUUCAUCAUCUUGUUAUAUUUUAAUAGUUCUUGCAUCAACCAAUUCGAAGGUAUCCAAACUCGA